GGGGUUGUGGCUCAGUGGCAGAGAGCUUGCCUGGCAUGUGUGAAGCACUGGGUUCGAUUCCCAGCACCA
rnacentral:tRNA from 1 species